GACCCCAGGUCAGGUGGGAUCACCCGCCGAGCUUAAGCAUAUC
rnacentral:rRNA from 1 species